AAUAGUUUUAUGCCACAUUAGUACUCUUAUCCUGAAUUUCAGGAUUUAAAAUACUAAAAUUCAGGAUAAAAUCUUAAAAUUCAGGAUAAGAACACUGAUGUGGCAUAAAACUAUU
rnacentral:pre_miRNA from 1 species